rnacentral:rRNA from 1 species
AGAGUUUGAUCCUGGCUCAGGAUGAACGCUAGCGGCAGGCCUAACACAUGCAAGUCGAACGGUAACAUGAGAGCUUGCUCUUGAUGACGAGUGGCGCACGGGUGCGUAACGCGUAUGCAACCUACCUUUAACUGAGGGAUAGCCCAGGGAAACUUGGAUUAAUACCUCAUAAUAUUAUUUUUCCUCCUGGUUAGAUAAUUAAAGUUUCGGCGGUUAAAGAUGGGCAUGCGUCCUAUUAGUUAGUUGGUGAGGUAACGGCUCACCAAGGCAGCGAUAGGUAGGGGGCCUGAGAGGGUGACCCCCCACACUGGUACUGAGACACGGACCAGACUCCUACGGGAGGCAGCAGUGAGGAAUAUUGGUCAAUGGACGAAAGUCUGAACCAGCCAUGCCGCGUGCAGGAAGACGGCCCUACGGGUUGUAAACUGCUUUUAUAUAGGAAGAAACCUCCGGACGUGUCCGGAGCUGACGGUACUAUAUGAAUAAGCACCGGCUAACUCCGUGCCAGCAGCCGCGGUAAUACGGAGGGUGCAAGCGUUAUCCGGAUUUAUUGGGUUUAAAGGGUCCGUAGGCGGAUCUUUAAGUCAGUGGUGAAAGCCUAUAGCUUAACUAUAGAAUUGCCGUUGAUACUGAAGAUCUUGAGUACAUUUGAAGUGGGCGGAAUGUGUCAUGUAGCGGUGAAAUGCAUAGAUAUGACACAGAACACCGAUUGCGAAGGCAGCUCACUAAACUGUAACUGACGCUGAGGGACGAAAGCGUGGGGAGCGAACAGGAUUAGAUACCCUGGUAGUCCACGCCGUAAACGAUCAUCACUCGCUGUUGGCGAUAAACUGUCAGCGGCCAAGCGAAAGCAUUAAGUGAUGCACCUGGGGAGUACGAUCGCAAGAUUGAAACUCAAAGGAAUUGACGGGGGCCCGCACAAGCGGUGGAGCAUGUGGUUUAAUUCGAUGAUACGCGAGGAACCUUACCAGGGCUUAAAUGCAGAAUGACAGACUGAGAAAUCAGUUUUUCUUCGGACAUUUUGCAAGGUGCUGCAUGGUUGUCGUCAGCUCGUGCCGUGAGGUGUCAGGUUAAGUCCUAUAACGAGCGCAACCCCUAUCAUUAGUUGCCAGCGGUUCGGCCGGGGACUCUAAUGAAACUGCCAGCGCAAGCUGUGAGGAAGGUGGGGAUGACGUCAAAUCAUCACGGCCCUUACGUCCUGGGCUACACACGUGCUACAAUGGUAACGACAGAGGGCAGCCACUUGGCGACAAGGAGCGAAUCCCAAAACGUUAUCUCAGUUCGGAUUGAAGUCUGCAACUCGACUUCAUGAAGCUGGAAUCGCUAGUAAUCGCGCAUCAGCCAUGGCGCGGUGAAUACGUUCCCGGGCCUUGUACACACCGCCCGUCAAGCCAUGGAAGCUGGGGGUGCCUGAAGUCGGUAACCGCAAGGAACUGCCUAGGGUAAAACUAGUAACUAGGGCUAAGUCGUAACAAGGUA